GCCGUAGCUCAGCGGUCGAGAGCGCCCGGCUGUAGAACGGGCGGUCCCGGGUUCGAAUCCCGGCGGC
rnacentral:tRNA from 1 species